rnacentral:lncRNA from 1 species
GAAAGAGAGCAUCAAUGGUGGAUGCACAGUUCGAUAUCUUUCUUUUUGCACGUUUUAACCAUUGCAAUGCUUGCUUCCCAAGUUGAUCCUUGUAGCGUUCCUAUCUCAGUUGCUUGCAUGUCUUUUUAGCUCUCUACUUGGAUCCUUGAACUCUUGAUGAACGACCAAAUAUCCAUUAUCUUACAGGUUGAUGCCUGAGUUUGCACUCACCGUCACAAAGGAGAAGAAGCUUACCGGAAG